rnacentral:rRNA from 1 species
UACGAAGGGGGCUAGCGUUGUUCGGAAUUACUGGGCGUAAAGGGCGCGUAGGCGGUGUGUCAAGUCAGGCGUGAAAGCCCCGGGCUCAACCUGGGAACCGCGCUUGAGACUGGCACGCUCGAGUUCGGGAGAGGAUGGUGGAAUUCCCAGUGUAGAGGUGAAAUUCGUAGAUAUUGGGAAGAACACCGAUGGCGCAAGGCAGCCAUCUGGGCCGACACUGACGCUGAGGCGCGAAAGCGUGGGGAGCAAACAGG